AUUUUCUUGCCGGGUGGAUCUAAAUUCUAUACCUUUGGCCUUGCUGCGAUAUGCUGGGCUAUGUGGAACUGUCGCAACAGGGCCACAUUUGAACAUAAAAAGCUAAAGACUCCUUUUGUUGUGGUUUUCUCUGCGUGUGGUUUCUUGAACUACCGGGCAGGUCUAAUGGCUGGAGUUGAUCGCGAUGCAAUGGAACGUGGCGCCAAGAUGCUCAAGACCAACACUGCAACUAUGAUGAGGAUUUGCGCGGCCCCAGCUGAACCAGCGAUGGACUGA
rnacentral:rRNA from 1 species